rnacentral:rRNA from 1 species
UUCUGUAAGCCUGCGAAGGUGGCCUGUGAGGGUUGCUGGAGGUAUCAGAAGUGCGAAUGCUGACAUAAGUAACGAUAAUGCGGGUGAAAAGCCCGCACGCCGGAAGACCAAGGGUUCCUGUCCAACGUUAAUCGGGGCAGGGUGAGUCGACCCCUAAGGCGAGGCCGAAAGGCGUAGUCGAUGGGAAACAGGUUAAUAUUCCUGUACUUGGUGUUACUGCGAAGGGGGGACGGAGAAGGCUAUGUUAGCCGGGCGACGGUUGUCCCGGUUUAAGCAUGUAGGCGGAGGUUCCAGGUAAAUCCGGUACCUUUUAACGCUGAGGUGUGAUGACGAGGCACUACGGUGCUGAAGUAACAAAUGCCCUGCUUCCAGGAAAAGCCUCUAAGCAUCAGGUAACAUUGAAUCGUACCCCAAACCGACACAGGUGGUCAGGUAGAGAAUACCAAGGCGCUUGAGAGAACUCGGGUGAAGGAACUAGGCAAAAUGGUGCCGUAACUUCGGGAGAAGGCACGCUGAUAUGUAGGUGAAGCCCCUGCGGGUGGAGCUGAAAUCAGUCGAAGAUACCAGCUGGCUGCAACUGUUUAUUAAAAACACAGCACUGUGCAAACACGAAAGUGGACGUAUACGGUGUGACGCCUGCCCGGUGCCGGAAGGUUAAUUGAUGGGGUUAUCCGUAAGGAGAAGCUCUUGAUCGAAGCCCCGGUAAACGGCGGCCGUAACUAUAACGGUCCUAAGGUAGCGAAAUUCCUUGUCGGGUAAGUUCCGACCUGCACGAAUGGCGUAAUGAUGGCCAGGCUGUCUCCACCCGAGACUCAGUGAAAUUGAACUCGCUGUGAAGAUGCAGUGUACCCGCGGCAAGACGGAAAGACCCCGUGAACCUUUACUAUAGCUUGACACUGAACAUUGAGCCUUGAUGUGUAGGAUAGGUGGGAGGCUUUGAAGCGUGGACGCCAGUCUGCGUGGAGCCAACCUUGAAAUACCACCCUUUAAUGUUUGAUGUUCUAACGUUGGCCCCUUAUCGGGGUUGCGGACAGUGUCUGGUGGGUAGUUUGACUGGGGCGGUCUCCUCCCAAAGAGUAACGGAGGAGCACGAAGGUUAGCUAAUCCUGGUCGGACAUCAGGAGGUUAGUGCAAUGGCAUAAGCUAGCUUGACUGCGAGCGUGACGGCGCGAGCAGGUGCGAAAGCAGGUCAUAGUGAUCCGGUGGUUCUGAAUGGAAGGGCCAUCGCUCAACGGAUAAAAGGUACUCCGGGGAUAACAGGCUGAUACCGCCCAAGAGUUCAUAUCGACGGCGGUGUUUGGCACCUCGAUGUCGGCUCAUCACAUCCUGGGGCUGAAGUAGGUCCCAAGGGUAUGGCUGUUCGCCAUUUAAAGUGGUACGCGAGCUGGGUUUAGAACGUCGUGAGACAGUUCGGUCCCUAUCUGCCGUGGGCGCUGGAGAAUUGAGGGGGGCUGCUCCUAGUACGAGAGGACCGGAGUGGACGCAUCACUGGUGUUCGGGUUGUCAUGCCAAUGGCAUUGCCCGGUAGCUAAAUGCGGAAGAGAUAAGUGCUGAAAGCAUCUAAGCACGAAACUUGC